UUAUAUAUAUAAAAGUAAAACGCCACCGUUACAAACCUUUUAAACCAUGAAGAGUUGAAGACAGAAAACCUAAUUUCUUCAAUCUUCAAACCUAUAUCUGGUGCAAAGAAGAGCAGAGGAAUUUAAGUUCAAGGCAAGCUUGUUACUUGUUUGGCUCUCUUCAGUUCAGUUCUACGAAUCAAGGCCAUUCAUCAUGCUUGCGAAGGCAAACGUUAAAAAGGAGGCAGCCAUUGACAUUUUCUUUUAACCAAACAAACAAAUAAAAUAAAAAACAAAAUGCUUUCCUGAUGUAUUAAAGAAUUAUUGAAGAGUUUUAGCCAUUUUCUGGCCGAAGCAAUAAGGCCUGUAACCAGUCCGGCUGUCAAAAGUGACAGGGAGAUACUCAAAGUCGAAGUCAAAUACUUGAUGUUAGAGGAUUUAGAGCAUGAUAAGCAUUUGUGUUUACUUGUGUAUGAUUCUAAGUCCAGGUAGAUGCAGAGCAAUUGCUAUCUUUCUUUGACAGCCACAGGGAGGAUUUUAAUUUUCCUUCGCCACUGCAGGCACAAAUCUAUGUACAGAAUUACCUUUCAGUUGAAGAGGAUCUGACAGAGUUUGCAGGCUCAUUACUUGUUGAUCCAGAUGAAUAUGGCACUGAAAAUGCUGCACUAUUUCUCCCAAAUGACCAUAGCUCACCAAGGUCAUCAAGGAAAGCUUAUACCGAGGAUAGCAGUGAUAGAACAACUUAUCAUGCAUAUAGAGAGGUAAUAAAUAAUCUCCAACGACCAUUUUUAGCAACGCCUGAUUCUCUCAGUAAUUAUUUAAGAGAAUGCUAAUGGGAGCAUUGGAGAAAUAUGUAACUUACUCAUUAUUUCAAUGCCACUGAAGACAUUCUUUUUAGAGUCGUGGAAGACCUUCAAGUGAAAUGAAAUUCUAUGUUUUACUGA